rnacentral:rRNA from 1 species
CCGCCUCGUGCUAAAGAGGAGGAAGGAAUGGGCAACGGUAGGUCAGCAUGCCCCGAACUUAUCUGGGCUACACGCGGGCUACAAUGGGUGGGACAAUGGGUAUCGACACCGAAAGGUGAAGGGCAAUCUCCUAAAACCCAUCCGUAGUUCGGAUUGUGGGCUGCAACUCGCCCACAUGAAGCUGGAAUCUGUAGUAAUCGUGUCUCAAAAUGGCACGGUGAAUAUGUCCCUGCUCCUU